rnacentral:lncRNA from 1 species
UGCAGAGGGAUGCUCGGAGGAAGCUCCGGGAGGGAGAGCCGCGUCCACUCCUCUUUCCAGACUAUGAUGGGGCCCAGGGACCCCUCCCCUCCGACUGAGCCCCACAGACCCCCUACUCAGGACAGAAGGGGAAAGCUGAGCUCCUGCUGGCCCAGGCAUCAGAAUUCCUCAGGGAGGAAAAGUUGCCUAUCUGUUGGGUCAGAUUUCUGAAGACUGAUGAGGCCCAUUUUCCGGCUGGAGUGAAAUGACAUGAUCUCAGCUCACUGAAACCUCUGCCUCCCAGGUUCAAGCAAUUCUCCUGCCUCAGCCUCGCGAGUAGCUGGGAUUACAGAUAUCCUUCGAGUUGGAUUUCGACUGGGUUCUGCCAAUGGGAUGUAUCCAUGCGAGAUUCUGGAACUAACAUCAGAGAGAGUCCAAGCUUCUAACUUUUAUCAGCGGCAGUGACAAUAGUCAAGCAGCAUUGAUGACAAAUGGCAAGAGUUUAGAAAGUACCAGUGACGUGCCUGAUAGAAUCUCACCACAAGAUGGAAGCCAACUCGUCAGAAGCCUGGAAAGCCCACCCAGCGUGGGACCUCUGUGGGUCCAGGAUCUUGGAAUGGCAUCCCAUGGUUCAAUCUUCCGGAUUCAACCACAUAAAUUUACCCCACCCAUGUCGUGGACCCAAGCUUCCUACCAUGUAUCCUUAGCUUAAAUGCAAGAUAGUACUAUUUUGUUCAUCUUGAUUGGAGUGAGAAAUGAAUAGGUCCAUGCACAUAUAUUUCUUUUACCACAACAAGAUGAUGAAGAAAUAAAUCCAUAAUAUCGAUACUUUUGUAUAAGUUGUGUUUACAGUUGCAGUAAGAAAUUUUAUAAUCGUUGAUUUGCUUUAUAUAAUUUCUGCUUGCUUUUUAUGAUAUUUAAAACAAAAUCUAAGCAACAAAUUUUAUGUCUGAUUAGAUUUACAGAAGCUGCUUAAGUGCUUAGGGAUAAUUUGUUCAUCAUAUUUGUAAGUCUCCCUUGUUAGGUGUUUGAAGUGUUUGAAUUGGCUAAAUUAAAUUUGUAAUUGUAGUUUGAAAUAUCUAAA